UACGUAGGGGGCAAGCGUUAUCCGGAAUCAUUGGGCGUAAAGCGCGUGUAGGCGGUUCCGUAAGUCCGCUCUGAAAGCCCAGGGCUCAACCCUGGGAGGCGGGUGGAUACUACGGAACUGGAGUACGGAAGAGGAGAUUGGAAUUCCUGGUGUAGCGGUGAAAUGCGCAGAUAUCAGGAGGAACACCAAUGGCGAAGGCAGCACUCUGGGACGUGACUGACGCUGAGACGCGAAAGCGUGGGGAGCAAACAGG
rnacentral:rRNA from 1 species